UUGAACGCUGGCGGAAUGCUUUACACAUGCAAGUCGAACGGCAGCACGGACUUCGGUCUGGUGGCGAGUGGCGAACGGGUGAGUAAUGUAUCGGAACGUAUCCAAUAAUGGGGGAUAACUAAUCGAAAGGUUGGCUAAUACCGCAUACGCCCUACGGGGGAAAGCUAGGGAUCUUCGGACCUGGCGUUAAUGGAGCGGCCGAUAUCUGAUUAGCUAGUUGGUGAGGUAAAAGCUCACCAAGGCGACGAUCAGUAGCUGGUCUGAGAGGACGACCAGCCACACUGGAACUGAGACACGGUCCAGACUCCUACGGGAGGCAGCAGUGGGGAAUUUUGGACAAUGGGCGAAAGCCUGAUCCAGCCAUUCCGCGUGAGUGAAGAAGGCCUUCGGGUUGUAAAGCUCUUUCGCAAGAGAAGAAAACUUAGUCUCUAACAUAGACUGAGGUUGACGGUAUCUUGAUAAGAAGCACCGGCUAACUACGU
rnacentral:rRNA from 1 species